CAGGUUGGCUAUAAAUAACAGAUCAAGACUGGAUCCACCCUUGUCCCCAGAUUACUUUGGGAACUCAAUUCAAACCGUGAGAGCAGUAACUACAGCUGGUGAACUGGUCGAGCAGAAUCUUGGAUGGGCUGCUUGGCAAUUGCACCUAGCUGUGGUUAACCACACAGACAAAUCAGUGCGUGGCUUUGUCAAUGAUUGGCUUCGUUCACCGUUUAUUUACCAGCUUGGUCAGUUUUUUGAUCCACAAAGUGUAAUGAUGGGAAGCUCACCAAGAUUCAACAAGUACGGAAAUGAGUUUGGGUUGGGGAAAGCACUGGCACUCCGCAGUGGAUAUGCUCAUAAGUUUGAUGGGAAGGUUUCCUCAUAUCCAGGACGCGAAGGUGGAGGAAGCAUAGACUUGGAGGUCUGCCUUCC
rnacentral:lncRNA from 1 species